rnacentral:lncRNA from 1 species
AUGAGGCGAGUGCACGGCCAGAGUCCUGGAUCCAGGGUGGGUGUCACUGUGGAGAUGGGAGGCAGCCUGGCCAGACUGGGGCCAAGCCUCUCCCUGGCUGGCAGCGGGGCUCCAGGAUUUAGUGCCGAGUUGCUGGAGGGAGCUCCCGACUUGGGGCAGGGGGGAGCACUCGGGCUCCAGCCCUGCUCUGCCCUGCGAAGGCUGUGUGGCCGUCAGUGGGGGCCGCCCGUCUCUGGGCCUGGCUUUCUCCAUCCUGGCGGCCGGGAGCCUCUCCCCAGACCUGGUGCCGUGUGCACGGCGGGCGGGGAAGGCACCUCCUCAUCCCUCCUCCCUGUCCUCCCCACUCCCACUGCAGGGUGUGUCUGUCACCCAGGGGCUGGGGCUGUGUGCGUGUGCAAGAAUCAGAGAUGGAGACUGAGUGGAGAGAGAGAGAGAGAGAGAGAGAGAGAGAGAGAGAGAGAAGAUGGGGGGACAGGGGAGGAUACAAGCAGAGAGGUGGUGCAGAGACGGAAAAAGACAGAGACCAAAAGGGUUCAAGUCAGAGAUGGAGAGGAGAGCAGGGAGCGGGGGGGCGGGGGGGAGGCUGGAGGGGGCCUGUGCAUUGGAACCGCCUCGCCCCAGAGCAGGGCUCUCUGCAGGUCAGGGUUCUGCCUCCCACCUGCACAACCCCACCCCCCUACAGGCCCAGAGAGGGCCGGGGUUUGCCCCGAGCUGCACAGGACGCAGGGCAACCUCCGGAUCAGGAGCUCACCUCUCCUCGCAGUGUGUGUGUGUCUGGCACGAGUCUGGUAUUUUCUCUCUGAAUCUGUCUGCCACGAGAUCUGGAUACACCUGAGUGUCGAGGGCACACCUGUGCCUGCAGACCGGAAGCCCGAGACCCAGAGGCAGGGCUGCGCGGCCGGCGCAGUACUGGAGGCGGGGCCUGCCUCCCCAGCACUUCCCUCCGUUGUGAGAGCAGCACUGAUCGGGCACUUGCCACGAGGCAGGCUCUGUGACCAGCGCUCGGCGUGGACUCACGCACCUGACCGUCACACGCAGCAGUGCCGUUCUGCGGGCGAGGAAGCAGGUGCACGCGGGUGA